rnacentral:rRNA from 1 species
ACGAACGCUGGCGGCGUGCUUAACACAUGCAAGUCGAACGGUGAAGCGCCUUCCUUUUUGGUGGGUGUGGAUGAGUGGCGAACGGGUGAGUAACACGUGAGUAACCUGCCCCCUUCUUCUGGAUAACCGCAUGAAAGUGUGGCUAAUACGGGAUAUUCUGGGUCUGUCGCAUGAUGGGUCUGGGAAAGAUAUUGUUUCGGUGGGGGAUGGGCUCGCGGCCUAUCAGCUUGUUGGUGGGGUGAUGGCCUACCAAGGCGGUGACGGGUAGCCGGCCUGAGAGGGUGGACGGUCACACUGGGACUGAGACACGGCCCAGACUCCUACGGGAGGCAGCAGUGGGGAAUAUUGCACAAUGGGCGAAAGCCUGAUGCAGCGACGCCGCGUGAGUGAUGGAGGCCUUCGGGUUGUGAACCUCUUUCGCCAGUGAAGCAGGCCUGCCUCGUUUGUGGGUGGGUUGACGGUAGCUGGAUAAGAAGCGCCGGCUAACUACGUG